AACAGAAGCCGAAAAACAAGGGAAAAGGAAAUCAGCAAAACAAGGAAAAGCAAAAAGCAACAAAACAAGAAAAAGAAAGAAGCAGCAAACAUGGAAUCAGAAAAUAUGGAAAAGCAAAUCCUUGAUUUAUGGCACUUCUUCCAAUACUUUUCAUCCUCCAAGCUUUUCUCUCCAAAAGUGAGAGCUUUUCUCGCCAUUUGUGUGAGCCUUUCCCUUCUCCAUUCCUCCGGUGGCACGGGUCCUAUCUUUGGCUGGGGUCGGUUGCCAUAUCCUCUUUCCUCUUUUCUUCUUCAUCUUUUCUUUUCAUUUCUAUUGAUGUUUCUCCCUUUUUUUCCCUCUGGCUUGUCCUCUUCUUCAAUUCUUAUCAGUAUACCUCUCCCCAUCUCUUCCUCAAUCCGAUCUUCAGCCAUAUUUCCUAUUGAGUUCGUGUGUAGAGCUGGGAUGUUUUUCCUAGCUCGGGUGUUUCCCGCGCCACCACAUUCUCCUUGCUGUUUGUCGUUUUAUUGGGAUUGCCGGAAAAUAAAAAAGUUUUCUUCUUACAUAUGCUACUAGUUGGAGAAGCUACAGUGACUAGUUCUUUUCAGUUCUGGCUCCUAUUCUGCUUGCUAACCACAGAUAAGUUCUCAAACCUUCUUGUUACUCUAUGAGAUUUGCUUCUUCUGAAGGUUAUUCCGUAAUUAAUUCAAGCGGCCUUCAGCACUGGUUCAAAAAUUGGCAAGGACUAAGGAAAAAUAAAUUGACAGCUGCACUUUUGCUGCGGCAGUUGGUUUUUUUCAUCGCAGAAGACUCCAGCUUUGGCUAGAGAAGAUUGGAGCAAUUGAGCCAUUUUCGGGUAAUUUGGCUGCCUGUUGGAGCAAUAUCAAAGAAGGGGAAGCACUUGAAAGAUACAAGCUGAUAACAGGAAAUUCCGUUUUGUUUCCUGAAUUUCAAGUCUAUGGUAAUAGGAAUGCUGGAGAGGAUUGGCUAGGAGCUUCACCAAAUGGAAUGGUUGAUAGGCUAGUAUACGGAUUGCCUUCACGAGGAGUACUGGAGAUUAAGUGUCCAUUUUUUGAUGGAACAUGAACAAGGCUACCCCUUGGUCACGAAUUUCUCUAUACUGUGUUCCACAGGCUCAGGGUUUAAUGGAAAUACUCGACAGGGAUUGGAUGGAUUUCUAUGUUUGGACUCCUAAAGGAAGCAGCCUAUUCCGGGUAUCGGGACGCAGAAUACUGGGAUGUUCUGAAAGUAGUUCUCUCAGACUUUUGGUGGAAUCAUGUCCAGCCAGCGAGGGAGAGCUUCAGUAGGUCUCAAAUUCGAUAUCCCCCUCGUUGAAUUAAGAUCGCUCAAGCCAGCACACAGGCAUGAACUGUGUAGUUAUAUACUUUAUGAAAGCAAACACGGUGUUGAUAACUCCAAGUUAUUGAUGCGGGAAAUCAAUGGAAAACUGAUAAACCGAUUCAUCUAUAAGGCCCUGCAAAUUAUUUGACUCUAAGAAUAUGGGAUUCAUUUUCCACGUCAAGUAGUUGGAAUGUGGCUUUGAUGAGUUGAGUAAUUGAUUUUAUGUCCGUUGUUUUCUUUUGAAUUAAUCGAGUUCAAAUUUCUUUUUCAUAUUGUCCUUCCUAUGACUGCAUUUACUUUCUAAUUACAUUGCUAAAUAGAAUAUCGUCGUUGAUGGGGUUUGCUCGGAUCAUAUAAGUUUCUUAGUUUCACUCCUAGGAAUAUUUACUCAGAUGGGUCUAAGUAGCACAUAAGUCUCAAUCUGUGAUUGGUCGAAUUCUUCAUUUUCUUAUUAAAGUUUUAAUUGUUCUUGCGGACGGUUUUACUGAAGUUGGAUUUGCAUUAUCUCAAAGCCAAGCAAGGGCCAUAAAGACGGUUUCUAUUCUUUCAGAUUCGAGAAUGUCCCAUGAUGUCUUCUGAUUAUAUUUCGUCAGAUUUUGGACUCUACAAAAUGAUGAGGAUUCAUUUAUGAAGAAUGGAUAUAAUGGCCCGUCAUAGUGUCUAGAAAUUUAUGAAGAACGGAUACAAGGUUUGGGAUUCGUAGCUCUAGAAGAACUAAAGGGGGGCGAUCCUGCUUGUAAAUGGAUCUCGCCCGGUUGCCUCUACACAUAUGGGCCUGGAAGUUACAAGAUUUCCUGCAUAAAUGAUGUCCCCUUCAAAUUUAGCGUUCCACUUCUGAAGGGCCAUCCAAAUGUGAAGGUCAUCCACUCAUCUAAAGUGUUGGUGAGGCACCAAUUUUCUUGGCACCCGCCGUCCUUUUUGCCAUCAAAGACGCCAUUAUAGCUGCAAAGAGCAGAAGUAGGGUCUAAUGAGUGGUUUCCACUUGAUAAUCCCGCAACACCUGAACGGAUACUGACGGAUGGCUUAGACCAAAAUUAUAGAACCAUUUGUAAGCACAGAUUUCCGCCCCAAUCUAGUUUUCUGUAUUUCGUUUAUAAUUACCAUCUCGUUAACACACUUGGUCUGUUUCACUGUCUUCAAUUUCGAAGAUGGUAUGUAAAUGGGUAA